GCAGAAGUGUUGGAAUUGGCAGACAAGCAAGAUUGAGGGUCUUGUGGGCGUAAAGCUCGUGCGGGUUCGACUCCCGUCUUCUGCA
rnacentral:tRNA from 1 species